GAUGAACGCUAGCGAUAGGCUUAACACAUGCAAGUCGAGGGACCGGCGCACGGGUGCGGAACGCGUAUGAAACUUGCCUACAAGAGGGGGAUAACCCGUCGAAAGACGGACUAAUACCGCGUACUGUGAGAUAGGCAUGCGUCCCAUUAGCUAGUUGGUGAGGUAACGGCUCACAAAGGCAACGAUGGGUAGGGGCACUGAGAGGUUGAACCCCCACACGGGUACUACGACCCGGACCCCAAUCCUACGGGAGGCAGCAGUGAGGAAUAUUGGUCAAUGGGCGAGAGCCUGAACCAGCCAAGUCGCGUGAAGGAUGACUGUCUAUGGAUUGUAAACUUCUGUUGUAGGGGAAUAUGUACCCUACGAAUAAGCAUCGGCUAACUCCGUGCCAGCAGCCGCGGUAAUAC
rnacentral:rRNA from 1 species